CAAGUUGCGCCCGAGGCCAUUAGGCUGAGGGCACGCCUGCCUGGGCGUCACGC
rnacentral:rRNA from 1 species